CCAGGUUGCCUGCUGCCACGUCCCCACCCCUGGCCAUCGGGAUGACUUAUGCAUCUCCCAAGGGCCUUAGUUAACAGCCCCUGAAGGGAAGCGAUAGGAGGGUAAGGAAGGGUGCAGAGGUGAGGUCUGGAGUGCAGGGUCUGAGGGGCAGGGACAGACGGCGUUUGGCAAGAGCUCUUUCCAGAAACUGUCCCGGCUUCUGAGACUGCCCCAAAGGAUUCCUCAGAGAAGGCACACCCGCCGCUGCUUUUCCUGCAGACUUUGCGCUUCCUCUCUCCGUGCAGGGCGACCCACGUGCCGUGUGCUCGAAGGCGGCCUCACACCCCAGCCCCCGCGCGGUGCCGCCCGCGGAACGGCCCGGGCCUCCGCUUUCCCGGGCGCCUGUCAUUGGAAGGCGCCAACGUGAAGCGCGCCUGGACCCUCUCGUGACGCCUCGGGUAGAGUAGGGUGAAAGUCUGGGGAGGAUUCCCUGGCAAAAACAGAAUUUCCCGUUGCCUUCGUCGGCAUCCUUUCCAUAAUGUCGCGAUUUCCCCCCUGCACCCCUGAUCCGGCUUACAGCAACAGCCCCGGAGCUUGAAGAGCCCCUAAGGCUCCGCGGAGGGAACAACCCUGAGCUCUGCUAGAUGCCCAGGAAAUGGGUUCUACUUGGUAGGGAUUAUUUUGAACCGCUACCAGCAGUUCACUCGACAUCCGACACCGGCAGCCCAACCCGCCGAAGGCAAACAGAUUAUGUCUACUUUGAGAAUUCUUCCAGCAAUCCAUACCUAAUCAGAAGAAUAGAAGAACUUAACAAGACUGCAAGUGGCAACGUGGAAGCAAAGGUAGUGUGCUUUUAUAGACGACGAGAUAUAUCCAACACUCUCAUAAUGCUUGCGGACAAGCAUGCUAAAGAAAUAGAAGAAGAAUCUGAAACAACAGUUGAGGCUGACUUGACUGAUAAACAGAAACAUCAGUUGAAACAUAGGGAGCUCUUUUUGUCACGCCAGUACGAAUCUCUACCUGCAACGCAUAUCAGGGGAAAAUGCAGUGUUGCCCUUCUGAAUGAGACAGAAUCAGUAUUGUCAUAUCUUGAGAAAGAGGAUACCUUUUUCUACUCCUUGGUCUAUGACCCCUCAGUGAAAACACUAUUAGCUGACAAAGGUGAAAUCAGAGUGGGUCCUAGAUACCAAGCAGACAUUCCAGAAAUGCUCUUGGAAGGAGAAUCAGAUGAGAGAGAACAGUCAAAAUUGGAAAUUAAAGUUUGGGAUCCAAAUAGCCCACUUACAGAUCGACAGAUUGACCAGUUUUUAGUUGUAGCUCGGGCUGUUGGGACAUUUGCUAGAGCCCUGGACUGCAGCAGUUCUGUGAGGCAGCCUAGCUUGCACAUGAGCGCAGCUGCAGCUUCCCGAGACAUCACAUUGUUUCAUGCUAUGGAUACAUUGUAUAGACACAGCUAUGAUUUGAGCAGUGCAAUUAGUGUCUUAGUACCACUUGGAGGACCUGUUUUAUGCAGAGAUGAAAUGGAAGAAUGGUCGGCCUCUGAAGCUAGCUUAUUUGAAGAGGCACUAGAAAAAUAUGGCAAGGACUUCAAUGAUAUACGUCAAGACUUUCUCCCUUGGAAGUCAUUGACUAGCAUCAUUGAAUAUUAUUACAUGUGGAAAACUACUGACAGAUACGUGCAGCAGAAACGUCUAAAAGCAGCAGAAGCUGAGAGUAAACUGAAACAAGUAUAUAUCCCGACUUACAGCAAACCAAAUCCCAACCAAAUAUCUACCAGCAAUGGCAAGCCUGGCGCUGUGAAUGGAGCUGUGGGGACCACGUUCCAGUCCCAGAACCCCCUCUUAGGGCGAGCCUGUGAGAGCUGCUAUGCUACACAGUCUCACCAAUGGUAUUCUUGGGGCCCACCUAAUAUGCAGUGUAGAUUAUGUGCAACUUGUUGGCUGUAUUGGAAAAAAUAUGGAGGCCUGAAAAUGCCCACUCAUUCAGAAGAGGAGAAGUUAUCUCCCAGUCCAACAACAGAGGACCCCCGAGUUAGAAGUCACCUGUCCCGGCAAGCUAUGCAGGGGAUGCCCGUCCGAAACACUGGGAGUCCAAAGUCUGCAGUGAAGACCCGCCAAGCUUUCUUCCUUCAUACUACAUAUUUCACAAAGUUUGCUCGUCAGGUCUGCAAAAAUACCCUACGGUUGCGGCAGGCAGCAAGACGGCCGUUUGUUGCUAUUAAUUAUGCUGCCAUUAGGGCAGAAUACGCAGACAGACACGCCGAACUAUCUGGAAGUCCACUGAAAAGCAAAAGCACUAGGAAACCCUUGGCAUGUAUCAUCGGGUAUUUAGAGAUCCAUCCUGCGAAGAAACCUAAUGUUAUUCGUUCUACACCAAGCCUGCAAACCCCAAGUACCAAGAGGAUGCUAACUACCCCAAAUCACACGUCUCUAAGCAUUCUGGGGAAAAGAAACUACAGUCAUCACAACGGCCUGGAUGAAAGGCUCAUGAAGUGAAGGCACAGCUCUACUCCAUCCUGCAACCCUUUCUCAGCGUGGUACAAGGCUGUGAAGAACUCACCUGCUGUGUGUCAGACUGAGCAACCCCUGUUCCAUCUUACAAUCCAAGACUUGCUACUGUCCUGCUGAUGUUCACAGCCGUGCCUGGGAAGGAGGCAGCUGGAGACUUCCGCGUGUACCCACGGAGACCCGAUGGGCAGGGAAGAAACUGUAGGAGUGCAGGUUCCAAAUCUGCACCUCCACCUGUGGACCAGCAGCGCCUUGCUUCCCUCUCAGAGACCCCUCUGUCCCCAGCAGACCUGCCUGAGAACCGAGGCGGGAGGGAGCCACUCCACCUCCUCGCUUCUUGGCGCCACACUCCCCAGGAAUGGUGGCCUCAGGUGAUGAAGGCUGCUGAGAGCUUGGAGCCCUGCUGUCCUGCAUGUGUCGGUCCUGCUCUGUUUUAUGCUGUAUAAUUAUGUACAGGAGGGACAUGGCAUCUUUCUGAGUGCAUUUUUCUUAAGAAAUGUGCCGGUGUUUAUGCAGUUCAUGGUAUUUUCCUACCCUUGCUGUAACUGUCACUUGGCAUUUUCUCAAUAGGCUUUUUUUUUUCAACUGGGGAAGUAUUAGUCUUGACUCCCUGCAUCCUGUAGUCCGUCCCACUCCCGGCUCCUGCUAGACAGAUCAGGCAAUGGUCUUAGGCAAGCCUGUGGGCCCUGCUGAGCAUCUGUUUUGUUGCUGGAGGGCGGCUGGUGUUCUCUCUGGUUCUGUGUUCUCCUGGAAUCUCCAGCGAGAGCAGGCAUUAAACAUGCCAAGUGUGUACAUCACUGUGACAAGCCAUUUGCUUAUUGCCCUGUUCCCUUACAGCCAAAUCAGCUAAUGAGCUAUAGCCAGGUAGGUCCUCCAGCAAGUCACCAAUCACCCAGUUUUAUUUUAGGCAGGCAGACUGCUGGGCCUAAGGGAGGUAGAGUGGAGAACUGUUCGUAGGUAUAAGUCUAUAGAUGGCUCCAUGGCCCCACCACUCUGGCCAGUGUUUCUGUGGGCGUAUAUGCUGGGGCUCCAGGAGACCUGCCUGAUUUACUGGCUUGGGCUCUACCUGUCUGCCCUGGGCACAGCCCUGGUGGCAUUCCAACUGACCACUCUGCCACCUGUGCAUACACCUGUGGGCAUUGGAACCACUCAGUGCCAUUAGCUCCUUGAGCAGCCUGAGCCCAGCACUCCCCUACCCUCCAUUGACUGGAAGACACCUGGAGUUGGACCUCCCAGUCUCUUGGGGGCUGCAGUUGGAAGGCAGGUGAAUGGCUGUGAGGUGCCCCAAACCGGUUGUUGCAAGACAGAGUGGCAGCAAUUGACUUGACCUCCAGGAAGAGUGAGGUAUCACAGAAAUGAUGACAUCUGGAAGUCUGUCCCCUGAGGCUGACUCGGCUCCGCGGGGAAUGAGGUGUGCGAUGUCUGAGGGUGUGCGAUGGCUCCAUCUGCCAGUCCCUUCCCAGCUGGGCAUCCAUCUUGGCUUCUCUGAGGAGUUGCUUCUCAGUUUAGGCUUCUGAGCUGGUGACCAGCAGGGUUUCCACCAUUGCCGACCCUUGGGGCAGUCCUGGGCUUGGGGCCCCUGAGGGAGGAGCCUGUGUGACCCGGCUUUGUGAGCUAGGUGGUGCAGAUGGCAGGCAUUUCCCCAGGGUUCCCACAGAGAGGUCCCUUCAGCAGAGACUCUGGAAGAGGAGGAAGUGGGCCUCUGGGGUUUCUUAUUUAAAAAAAAAAAAAAAAGACAGAACUGUGCCCCUGGCCUGGGUUUACUGUAACACGCAGACACAGGGGAAUGGAUGCUCACCCCUCACGUCCCUCACCUGACCCCCAUCAAGUGGACUUCUGGUUGCAGAAACAGUUGGCUCCUGUGACUACUGCCAGCUGCGUUCCUGCUGCCUGUGGGGAGAGGCCCGUCACCCAGAUCCAAGAAAUUUAGAGACAGCCAGAAUAGGGAGGAGCAGGGAGGCCCGCCCCAUCCCAUUUCCCUUACCUUUGGGGAAAGUGCCUCUGGUUUUAAACUGUUAAUAAGAGCUCCUGGUUUGCAGUUCCAUCACCAGUGAAGAUGAUAUGGAUGAAGAUUCGAUGCUCCCACUUCCUCUUGGUAAAGCCCCCUAGCAUUCUGAUGGAAUUCUCCAGGAAAUGGAGGACAGGUGCCUCUGUUAGUUAGCUUUGUGUUGCUGUGACCUAAAGUCUCAACAAGAACUACUUAGAGAAGGAAAAGUAUAUUUUGGCUCAUGAUUUCAGAGGUUCAGUCUGAUUGGCUAAAUGCAUGGCUCUGGGUCACAGAUAAGGCAGAACAUCAUGGUCGGAGAACAAAGGGAAACUGCUCGGUUCAUGGUAGCCAGGAAGCUGAGAGAGAGUUCUGCUCGCCAGAGACAAAAUAUAAACCCCAAAGGCACACCUCCAGAGACCUGCUCCCCAGCCACACUCUGCCUGCCUGUAGUCACCACCCGGUACAGUAGACCUUUCAAAUAAUCAUUCCACCCAGUGGAUCGAUGCACUGAUGAGGUUAUAGAUCUCAAGAUCUAACCCUCUCACCUCUGAACAGCCCUGCGUUGCCUCACACACGAGCUUCUGCACUUCAAUCCAAACCAUAACACACCCUGUUCAGCACCAUGGUGUUGCCAUCCUGUGUGGUGACGCGUGUCACCACUGUUCAGUGAGCAUGUGAGUGGACGUGCCGAGACUAUCUGCCCUGCCCAGACCUGCAUGGCGCUGCCCCCUGGGCAGAGGCACCAACUCAGCCAGCGUCCCUUCCUCAGUCACGGUAGCACCUCUGAUGUCCUAACUGGGAAAGCGAGGACUGGGGUUGUGACCGGAGCCUCUCACUGUCCUGCCUAGUCCACAGCCCAGUUUCUGUCACUCAGGGCCCAUCCUGGAAAGCAGAAACCACUCCCAGUAUUUCAAACAGGGGCUUAUUCUAGAUUUGUUUUACACAGAAACAAGAACAGAGAGGUGACUCGGGGAACAAGGGACCACCUGGAAAAACAACAGGAAGCUGCCCUCACCCUGAGGCGGCCAGGACACAGUGAUAAGGUCAUGUUACCAGAGCCCUGGGGCUAGGGACCCACUGGGAGGGACCUGGGACCACAGGGGCCCAUCUGGUAGGAGCCAGAGUCAUGAGGAUGCACAGUCCCUGUCACGACUGCUCCCUGUGCAGAGAAGGAGGAAAAGCUUGACCUCCCGCUUCUUGCCCUCCAGAUUUCUGCAGAUGCCUCAUGUUAGCCUAGAAGCCAGCUUCCCUGGGAGCUGCGGUGGCAACCUGCAGGGUCAGCCCCCCACAGGCAGCAGGGCAGCACAGCUGGAGGGGGUGAGGAGCAGGCCUGAGGGCCAGCAGCCUGGGCUAGACCCUGUCUGCUCGUGUUAUGUCCCGCCUCAGUGUUUAUGCUGCUGUCCUGGACCCUGGUGAGGGACCCCCGUGGGUCUUUGUGAAUUCUUUUUCCUCGGCCUAGAGGGACAGUGCUUUGGGGAGGUGGGGGGGCUUCAUUCUUCAUUCCUGGUUUCCUUUGGGGGGAUUUACUCACUUAGCUGCCCACCUCCCUCCUCCCCUCAGGAAAGCCAUGUCCCAGUUCUCUUUGCACCCUCCUGUUCCUCUCCCCUGUGCCUCUGGUUCUCUACCUACCCAGGGCAUGCUUCAGUGCUCGUAAGUGCUUCCCCAGGAUAGUUCAUUCCAGCGUGAUGCCACUGUGGACCGUCUGUCUAGGGAGAUGCCAUCCACUAAUCAGUUUGUAUCGUGUUUCCAAUAAAUUUCUGGA